UCGAGAAUCUUCCGCAAUGGGCGAAAGCCUGACGGAGCGACACCGCGUACAGGAUGAAGGCCUUCGGGUUGUAAACUGUUGUCACGCUAUAGGAACCACGGAAUGUGAACAGCAUUCCGCCUGACUAAAGCGAGAGGAAGCACCGGCUAACUCUGUGCCAGCAGCCGCGGUAAGACAGAGGGUGCAAACGUUGUUCGGAAUCACUGGGCAUAAAGCGCACGUAGGCCGUCCGCUAAGUUUCGUGUGAAAUCCCCGGCUCAACCGGGGAACUGCACGGGAUACUGGCGGACUCGAGGAUGGUAGGGGUGAGUGGAACUCCAGGUGGAGCGGUGAAAUGCGUAGAUAUCUGGAGGAACACCGGUGGCGAAAGCGGCUCACUGGACCGUUACUGACGCUGAGGUGCGAAAGCUAGGGGAGCAAA
rnacentral:rRNA from 1 species